rnacentral:rRNA from 1 species
UACGAAGGGGGCUAGCGUUGUUCGGAUUUACUGGGCGUAAAGCGCACGUAGGCGGAUUUCUAAGUCAGGGGUGAAAUCCUGGAGCUCAACUCCAGAACUGCCUUUGAUACUGGGAAUCUCGAGUCCGGGAGAGGUGAGUGGAACUGCGAGUGUAGAGGUGAAAUUCGUAGAUAUUCGGAAGAACACCAGUGGCGAAGGCGACACACUGGGCCAUUACUGACGCUGAGGCGCGAAAGCGUGGGGAGCAAACAGG